GCAUAUUGCGGCUAUAGGCUUGCCUAUGGCCACGUCUGUCUGAGUGUCGGCUUAUCAGCUAUCACUGCGCGUAG
rnacentral:rRNA from 1 species